AUUGAACGCUGGCGGCAGGCUUAACGCAUGCAAGUCGAGCGGGGUGAUGGUGCUUGCACUAUCACUUAGCGGCGGACGGGUGAGUAAUGCUUAGGAAUCUGCCUAUUAGUGGGGGACAACAUCUCGAAAGGGAUGCUAAUACCGCAUACGUCCUACGGGAGAAAGCAGGGGAUCACUUGUGACCUUGCGCUAAUAGAUGAGCCUAAGUCGGAUUAGCUAGUUGGUGGGGUAAAGGCCUACCAAGGCGACGAUCUGUAGCGGGUCUGAGAGGAUGAUCCGCCACACUGGGACUGAGACACGGCCCAGACUCCUACGGGAGGCAGCAGUGGGGAAUAUUGGACAAUGGGGGGAACCCUGAUCCAGCCAUGCCGCGUGUGUGAAGAAGGCCUUAUGGUUGUAAAGCACUUUAAGCGAGGAGGAGGCUCUUUUGGUUAAUACCCAAGAUGAGUGGACGUUACUCGCAGAAUAAGCACCGGCUAACUCUGUGCCAGCCGCCACGGUAA
rnacentral:rRNA from 1 species